rnacentral:rRNA from 1 species
AGCGAACGCUGACGGCAGGCCUAACACAUGCAAGUCGAACGAACCUUUCGGGGUUAGUGGCGGACGGGUGAGUAACACGUGGGAACGUGCCUUUAGGUUCGGAAUAACUCAGGGAAACUUGUGCUAAUACCGAAUGUGCCCUUCGGGGGAAAGAUUUAUCGCCUUUAGAGCGGCCCGCGUCUGAUUAGCUAGUUGGUUGAGGUAAUGGCUCACCAAGGCGACGAUCAGUAGCUGGUCUGAGAGGAUGAUCAGCCACAUUGGGACUGAGACACGGCCCAAACUCCUACGGGAGGCAGCAGUGGGGAAUCUUGCGCAAUGGGCGAAAGCCUGACGCAGCCAUGCCGCGUGAAUGAUGAAGGUCUUAGGAUUGUAAAAUUCUUUCACCGGGGACGAUAAUGACGGUACCCGGAGAAGAAGCCCCGGCUAACUUCGUG